rnacentral:rRNA from 1 species
GACGAACGCUGGCGGCGUGCCUAAUACAUGCAAGUCGAGCGAAGUUUUUCUGGUGCUUGCACUAGAAAAACUUAGCGGCGAACGGGUGAGUAACACGUAAAGAACCUGCCUCAUAGACGGGGACAACUAUUGGAAACGAUAGCUAAUACCGGAUAACAGCAUAAAUCGCAUGAUAUAUGUUUAAAAGUUGGUUUCGGCUAACACUAUGAGAUGGCUUUGCGGUGCAUUAGCUAGUUGGUGGGGUAAAGGCCUACCAAGGCGACGAUGCAUAGCCGACCUGAGAGGGUGAUCGGCCACACUGGGACUGAGACACGGCCCAGACUCCUACGGGAGGCAGCAGUAGGGAAUCUUCCGCAAUAGGCGAAAGCCUGACGGAGCAACGCCGCGUGAGUGAAGAAGGAUUUCGGUUCGUAAAGCUCUGUUGUUAGGGAAGAAUGAUUGUAUAGUAACUAUAUACAGUAGAGACGGUACCUAACCAGAAAGCCACGGCUAACUACGUGCCAGCAGCCGCGGUAAUACGUAGGUGGCAAGCGUUGUCCGGAAUUAUUGGGCGUAAAGCGCGCGCAGGUGGUUUAAUAAGUCUGAUGUGAAAGCCCACGGCUCAACCGUGGAGGGUCAUUGGAAACUGUUAAACUUGAGUGCAGGAGAGAAAAGUGGAAUUCCUAGUGUAGCGGUGAAAUGCGUAGAGAUUAGGAGGAACACCAGUGGCGAAGGCGGCUUUUUGGCCUGUAACUGACACUGAGGCGCGAAAGCGUGGGGAGCAAACAGG